rnacentral:tRNA from 1 species
GGGGGUAUAGCUCAGUGGUACAGUGCUUGCCUAGUAUGCAGGAGACCCUGGGUUCAACCCUCAGUAUAGCCA